AAUGUAACAGCUUGACGUUGUGUGGACGUUCCCACUAUGACGUCUAUCAGACAUUGGAUUUUGGUUGCCAUACCUGACGAAUAAAUGUCAGUAUUUGACGUCAAUAUGAUUUUGGGUUGAGAUGUUGGCUUGAUGCUGGAAUUUGGUCACUUUCUAACACAACCUUAAAUCAACUUAAUAUCAACAUGAUCUGACAUCAUUACUGGAUGUUAAAAUAACGUUGUUCUUAGAUGCUGGAAAGACAUUGAAUUUUGGUCAACUAACGUCAUGACCAUAAAUCUAACCUAAUAGUAACGUUGUGUGCCUGCUGGGUUAGAAUAUGUUUUGCUUUUGCCAAAUUUCACGCUUCUUAAAAUAUUGCAUCCUACAAAGCAAUACAAAAAGUCAUUCUUGACUGCCAAUAUUCCUUUGGUAAAAACUUGCAUUUCCAAUCGAAUGUGAGGUUACAAGUGAACCAACUGCUCCAAGACACUGAAAACACUGUUACAACGAGCUGCUCAUGUGUAAAUAAACCACAUUACGUUCUUGAGCAGUACUAUUACUAAAAUUUAAAAAAAAUUACCAGGGCAAUUUUUGUCACAUUUGUCAUUACAUUUUAGGCCCUGACAUUUUUUGUUUGGGAAGUGUUUUCUUAGACAGUAUAUAGAGUAUGCUAGUAUUCCAUUCCAAACAUAGCCCAUAUCUUCAUGGAAUUUGGACUGUGCCUAUCAAGACCAACAGAUUUCCAACCUGCGUGUUCCAUCUUAAAUAUAAAUCGUGAGAAUUUAUUGUACAUGUGAAAACGAGAACUGAAUGGAAGUGAGAAUUGUACGGCAGCCACACCACAUUUACUUCCCAUUUCUGUACCUGUAGACAAACUCUGACCCAUAGACAAUCAAUCCCUGUGAUGAGCAUUUCAACUACACUGAUAGAUUUGUCUGGAUCCUACAUGUGUAUUCAUUUGUUGGGCUCUCAAUAAACAACAAAUACAACAUUUCUGGAGACAAUUCA